rnacentral:rRNA from 1 species
UACGAAGGGGGCUAGCGUUGCUCGGAAUCACUGGGCGUAAAGCGCACGUAGGCGGGUCCUUAAGUCGGGGGUGAAAUCCUGGAGCUCAACUCCAGAACUGCCUUCGAUACUGAGGAUCUCGAGUCCGGGAGAGGUGAGUGGAACUCCGAGUGUAGAGGUGAAAUUCGUAGAUAUUCGGAAGAACACCAGUGGCGAAGGCGGCUCACUGGCCCGGUACUGACGCUGAGGUGCGAAAGCGUGGGGAGCAAACCGG